GGUGUACUAAUACAACGACCUGAAAGGCUAUUGCCACGACAGUUCACUCCGUAUGAAAAUGCGCUUAAAGUUCACUCUCUUCUCAGAUCUCACCACCUCAAUUCUCUCUCCUCUCUCUUUCUCUCCUUCUCCCUAUUCUCUUCCUCAAAGACGAAGGCAACCAUCACCGCAGCCGUAACCACAUCCACAACCACCGUCGCUCACAAAAUUAAAUUCUCUCUCUUUCUUCUCCCUCCUCAUUCACUGAUGGUCAUGGUGGUGAUGAUGGUCGCGAGUGAUAACGACGUUGCGGUUCGAUUUUUAGGGUUUUGAUUGGUGUUCAUGGUAUAAGCUUCUUUAAACUUUCCUCUUUAAAUGUCAAAUUUAGGGUUCCUUUGCAUAAUUACUAGUUCAAAUUUUUGAUUUUUUUUUUCGAUUUCUAGGGUUUCCAUUUGUAACUGUUGGCGGUGGUGGAAAGCAGCGAUGGUGAGUUUUGAUUUGUAAUUGAUGGCGGUGGUGGAGAGUUGCUGAACUAACGUCGCUCGAACUCCGGCUUCGUGCCCUGAUCUUUGAGUAAGCCUUCUCUCUUUAUCUCUCCUUUUUCUUCUUUCUCGCUACUUUCUCCCCUGUUUCAAUUAUUGUUCCAAUUUUGACAAUUAUACACUUAGGGAUAUUCAAUCAAUUGACAAUUUAAUGUUAAUCAGGAACAUCAUCAUUGUCUGUGGUAGUUGGUGAGAGUGAUUUGCUAAUUGUUGGACCUGGUGUUCUUGGUCGCUUGGUAGCUCAAUAAUGGAGUCAGAUCGUUGAAUUCUAAUAGUUUAAGCGGGUCAAUACCAAGUUCAAUUGGUAAUCUUUCUAAGCUUUAUUGGCUGGAUCUUGCUGAAAACAAGCUUACUGGAACAUUACAUGUCUCAAAUGGCACUAAACCAGGUCUUGAUAUGCUGCAUAGUUGUAAGCACUUAUAUCAACUCUCUGGCUCAAUUCCACCUCAGCUACUCCAUGAAAAUAUGACAUUUGCUUAUUCAUUUGUACGUACCCUGAAAGAAAUUUAAUAAGAUAUAGAUGUUGUCAUUAACAUAUAUUCACUGGUAACACUGCAAAUUUGAAUGAAUACUGUUUUUUUAUUUAUUUAUUUAUUUUAUUUUUUUUAUUGCAUUGCAGGUUUGUUCUAUAUAUGUAUAUCUCUAACCCCUUGUGAGUUCUUGCUUAGUUUUUACUCUUGAUUCCAAACUAAAUUUUCCUUUACUAAAUUUCUAUCUUGUAAUUAUACUAGAAUUUAGUUGAUUUUUUUUCUUUUCUUGAAUAUCUCUAUUUAGAUUAAUAGUUUUAGAUAAAAAUUUUAGGUGUAUUGGGAUUACCUCGGAUUUACCUUAUACGAAGCAAGGGUAUUUUUAGUUGUAGUGCCAUGUUAUUGGUUUAAACCGCUGUUGUUAAAUUGUUAUGUUGUUUGGGUGGUGCUUGCUGCUAUUCCUUUUACCUUGUACAUUGAUGUUGUCGUUUCUACUAUAUAAUCUGCUACUAUAUCUACUCUAUAAUGUUGCUACUGCCUCUGCUUUAUAAUGUUGCUGCUGCCCCUGCUGUAAUUUUGCUGACUUGCUGCCUUGCAGACGAUGACAACUAUCUCUCCGGCUACAAAACAUCACUCUCCGGCUUCAAGAUAGAUUUUGGUUUUUGUAGUAUAUGUUGUAGCAGCCAAACAAAUGUUGAAAACAUUGUAUUUGGGAACAGUGAUUUAGCUUUGAUAGGAUUUUUUUUUUUUUUUUUUUUUUUUUUUUUUUCUCAAUUAAUUUAAUUAGUGAAAUUUGAUAUUGUAACUCUUCCCUUUAAGAGCAAUAAUGUACAAACCUUCAAUUUAUAUUAAUGAAAUUCCAA